rnacentral:RNase_P_RNA from 2 species
CCAGAGGGUCGGGCGGCCGCGGGUGUCUUCGGACACGCGAGGAAAGUCCGGGCUCCACGGAAACGACGGUGGCGGGUAACGCCCGCCGGGGGUGACCCCAGGGACAGUGCAACAGAGAGCAGACGUCCGGGUUUCGGCCCGGUCAUGGUGAAAGGGUGCGGUAAGAGCGCACCGCGCGACCGGUAACGGAAGCGGCACGGUAAACCCCACCGGGAGCAAGACCGAAUAGGGACGGCACAUGGGCCUCGUUCCGGCCCGUCGUCCGGGUUGGUUGCUGGAGGCGGCGCGCAAGCGUCGUCCUAGAGGAAUGGUCGCCUAUCCGCGUUCGCGCGGUGGACAGAACCCGGCUUACAGACCCUCUGGCGCU